rnacentral:rRNA from 1 species
ACGAACGCUGGCGGCGUGCCUAACACAUGCAAGUCGAACGGAGUCGGCCCCGCAAGGGACUGACUUAGUGGCGAACGGGUGAGUAACGCGUGAGCAACCUGCCUUUCAGUGGGGGACAACAGUUGGAAACGACUGCUAAUACCGCAUAAUGCAUUUUGACCGCAUGAUCGAGAUGCCAAAGAUUUAUUGCUGAAAGAUGGGCUCGCGUCUGAUUAGAUAGUUGGUGAGGUAACGGCCCACCAAGUCGACGAUCAGUAGCCGGACUGAGAGGUUGAACGGCCACAUUGGGACUGAGAUACGGCCCAGACUCCUACGGGAGGCAGCAGUGGGGAAUAUUGGGCAAUGGGGGAAACCCUGACCCAGCAACGCCGCGUGAAGGAAGAAGGCUUUCGGGUUGUAAACUUCUUUUACCAGGGACGAAGAAAGUGACGGUACCUGGAGAAAAAGCCACGGCUAACUACGUGCCAGCAGCCGCGGUAAUACGUAGGUGGCAAGCGUUGUCCGGAUUUACUGGGUGUAAAGGGCGUGUAGGCGGAGAUGCAAGUCAGAUGUGAAAUCCCCGGGCUUAACCCGGGAACUGCAUUUGAAACUGUAUCCCUUGAGUAUCGGAGAGGCAGGCGGAAUUCCUAGUGUAGCGGUGAAAUGCGUAGAUAUUAGGAGGAACACCAGUGGCGAAGGCGGCCUGCUGGACGACAACUGACGCU